AACGCAGCGAAGGGCGAUAAGUAAUGUGAAUUGCAGAAUUCAGUGAAUCAUCGAAUCUUUGAACGCACAUUGCGCCCGCCAGUAUUCUGGCGGGCAUGCCUGUCCGAGCGUCAUUUCCAACCCUCCGAACCCCUCCGGGGGGGUCGGCGUUGGGGACUUCGGGAACCCCUAAGACGGGAUCCCGGCCCCGAAAUACAGUGGCGGUCUCGCCGCAGCCUCUCAUGCGCAGUAGUUUGCACAACUCGCACGGGGAGCGCGGCGCGUCCACGUCCGUAAAACACCCAACUUCUGAAAUGUUGACCUCGGAUCAGGUAGGAAUACCCGCUGAACUUAA
rnacentral:rRNA from 1 species